AUCCAUGGAAUGAAGCUUAUUUUAUCAUGAUGCACGAUGUUGAUUUUACGAAUUCCUGGAUUUGGUUUGCUAGUAUUUUAUUGAGUAUUUUUCCAUCAAUGUUCAUAGGAACAAAUUUGUUAUUUCUACAUGAUUAAACAUGAUUCUUCUGGCUACUAUCAAGAUGCAGAUUUUGUUAUUGGAGGACUCUUUUCACUUAGACUGGCUUUUGGUCAAGACUUUAAAGCUAAAUUUGGCAGUGAAGAUAAAUUGGAUACACUGGAUAUUGUUUCUUUGGAUAUCACUAAAUAUUAUCAGCACAUGUUGGCAAUGGUUUUUGCUAUAGAAAAAAUCAACAAGGACACCGAUAUUCUAUUCAAUAUGUCCUUGGGAUUCAAUCUUUUCAAUGUUGACUUUAUUGAGAUGAAGGCCAUGGAAAGUUCUAUGGCUUUGCUCUUAGGAGAGAGCCCCCCAAUUCCUAACUACAGCUGCUGGCCUGAGAAGACUGACAAGCUGGUUGCAGUGAUAGGAGGCAUUUCAACGGCAAUAUCCACUCAGAUCUCCCGAGUUUUAAGUCUCUACAAUAUCCCACAGGAUCCUUCCAGUUUCCUUCUACACCCUGGAGCUGACCCUGUGCCACAUCUCCAUAUCUAAAUUCUUCCUGGAGAGAACUGAUCUCCCAAGACAACUGACACAUGGAAUUGCAGGAGGGACAAGCCUGCAAGACCUGCUAACCUCAUAAAUAACCAGAUGUCAAGAGGCAAGGGCAAAAACAUAAGUAACAGAAACCAAGGUUAUUUACAAUCAUCAGAACCCAGUCCUACCACCACAGCAAGCCCUGGAUACACCAACACACCAGAAAAGCAAGACUGAUUUAAAAUCACAUCUCAUGAUGAUGAUAGAGGGCUUUAAGAAGCACAAAUGACUCCCUUAAAGGAGAACAGGAGAACACAGCUCCAUCCAUUCUUACAAAAGGACCAACUUGUGAGAAGCACCAAUGAGGAGAACAUUGUUAAUAAGGAAGUUUCAGCAACCAAGCUUGACAUCUUUAAUUACCAGUCUCUGCAGAGUGGUACCAAAGCUCACGUGAAGGUUGGCGAGUUUGUCUUUGAAUCUCACAGUGCUCAGCAUCUUUCCCUAAAUGACACACUUAUAACUUGGGGUGAACACCACAAUCAGACUCCUUUAUCUGUUUGCAGUCAAAGUUGUCCACUUGGAUUUAGGAAAUCACCAGUUGAAGGGAAACCGUUCUGUUGUUAUGAUUGUGUCCCAUGUCCAGAUGGAGAGAUUUCAAAUGAAACAGUGGUCUCAAACUCCUGGGCUACAGCAAUCCUCCAGGCUCAGACUCCUGGGUGACUAAGCCUACAGGAGUGUUCUGCAUCUGGUCCAGCUUUGUCUUCUUCUCAACUACAUUGAGUAUAACAGCCUGAAUACUGUAUGUCUGGUCUCAACCCGUCCCUGAAGGAAGAAAUUAAAGAAGAUCUCAGAAGAUGGAAAAAUCUCCCAUGCUCAUGGAUUGGCAGGAUCAACAUUGUAAAAAUGGCUAUCUUGCCAAAAGCAAUCUACAGAUUCAAUGCAAUCCCCAUCAAAAUUCCAACUCAAUUCUUCCACGAAUUAGAAAGAGCAAUCUGCAAAUUCAUCUGGAAUAACAAAAAACCUAGGAUAGGAAAAGCUCUUCUGAAGGAUAAAAGUACCUCUGGUGGAAUCACCAUGCCUGACCUAAAGCUUUACUACAGGGCAAUUGUGAUAAAAAACUGCAUGGUACUGGUAUAGUGACAGACAAGUAGACCAAUGGAAUAGAAUUGAAGACCCAGAAAUGAACCCGCACACCUAUGGUCACUUGAUCUUCGACAAGGGAGCUAAAACCAUCCAGUGGAAAAAAGACAGCAUUUUCAACAAAUGGUGCUGGCACAACUGGUUGUUAUCAUGUAGAAGAAUGCGAAUCAACCCAUUCCUCUCUCCUUGUACUAAGGUCAAAUGUAAGUGGAUCAAGGAACUUCACAUAAAACCAGAGACACUGAAACUUAUAGAGGAGAAAGUGGGGAAAAGUCUCGAGGAUAUGGGCACAGGGAAAAAAUUCCUGAAUAGAACAGCAAUGGCUUGUGCUUUAAGAUCGAGGAUUGACAAAUGGGACCUCAUGAAACUGCAAAGCUUCUGCAAGGCAAAAGACACCGUCAAUAAGACAAAAAGACCACCAACAGAUUGGGAAAGGAUCUUUACCUAUCUUAAAUCAGAUAGGGGACUAAUAUCCAAUAUAUAUAAAGAACUCAAGAGGGUGGACUCCAGAAAAUCAAAUAGCCCCCUUAAAAGAUGGGGCUCAGAGCUGAACAGAGAAUUCUCACCCGAGGAAUAUCUCUUCUGUUUUGUCAGCCAAUCUCCACCUGACUCCUGGAUUGGAUGCCAGAAAGAAUCUUGGACCUGUCCUGUCAGCAGGACAUAAGGUCUCUCCAAGACAGACCCUUGCUUAUCUUUUAGAUGUGACUUGUCACACUUCAAAGAUAUAUAUUUUUAAAUUUAUGAUUUAAAAGUAGUUCAUUCAGAUUUGUAGAUUCAUGUUGAAUUACCAUAUUAAUUUUAAUUAAAACAUUAUUUAAAUUAUGUUUUAUUAAUUAGUUUCAUGGGACUUAUUCCCAUUAUCAGAAUUUAUUGGUAUAAAAAUUAUACUGUCAUAUGUCAUGUCUUAAAUUGCUUACUCUUUUGCAUUUAAUAAACAUUGAAUAUUUCUUU
rnacentral:lncRNA from 1 species